ACCGCUUGUCACACUAUAAGAGCUGGCCAUGCCCGAAGCCGUUACCUUAACCGUAAGGAAAGGAAUGCCAAAGCAUGGCUAGUGAUUAGAGUGGAAUUGUAACAAGAUAGUCGUACUAUAAUAUAGGGCUA
rnacentral:ncRNA from 1 species